UACAGAGGGUGGCAAGCGUUGUUCGGAAUUAUUGGGCGUAAAGCGCGUGUAGGCGGCAUGGCAAGUCGGGUGUGAAAGCCCUCAGCUUAACUGAGGAAGUGCGCCCGAAACUGCUUUGCUUGAGUGCCGGAGAGGGUCGCGGAAUUCCCCAAGUAGAGGUGAAAUUCGUAGAUAUGGGGAGGAACACCGGUGGCGAAGGCGGCGACCUGGACAGUAACUGACGCUGAGACGCGAAAGCGUGGGGAGCAAACAGG
rnacentral:rRNA from 1 species